rnacentral:rRNA from 1 species
CGACGGUGAGUAACACGUGGCAACCUGCCCCUAGCACUGGGAUAACUCCGGGAAACCGGGGCUAAUACCGGAUACGACCUUGAAGGGCAUCCUUCGAGGUGGAAAAGGUUACUGGCUAGGGAUGGGCCCGCGGCCUAUCAGCUUGUUGGUGAGGUAAUGGCUCACCAAGGCGUCGACGGGUAGCCGGCCUGAGAGGGCGACCGGCCACACUGGGACUGAGACACGGCCCAG